rnacentral:rRNA from 1 species
UUGACCUCGGAUCAGGCAGGGAUACCCGCUGAACUUAAGCAUAUCAAUAAGCGGAGGAAAAGAAACCAACAGGGAUUGCCUCAGUAACGGCAAGUGAAGCGGCAACAGCUCAAAUUUGAAAUCUGGCUCUUUUAGGGUCCGAGUUGUAAUUUGUAGAGGAUGCUUCGGCGUCGGCUCCGGUCUAAGUUCCUUGGAACAGGACGUCAUAGAGGGUGAGAAUCCCGUAUGUGAUCGGUUGCCCUUGCCAUGUGAAGCUCCUUCGACGAGUCGAGUUGUUUGGGAAUGCAGCUCUAAAUGGGAGGUAAAUUUCUUCUAAAGCUAAAUACUGGCCAGAGACCGAUAGCGCACAAGUAGAGUGAUCGAAAGAUGAAAAGCACUUUGGAAAGAGAGUCAAAAAGUACGUGAAAUUGUUGAAAGGGAAGCGCUUGCAACCAGACCUGCCUGCAGUUGCUCAUCCGGGCUUUUGCCCGGUGCACUCUUCUGCUGUCAGGCCAGCAUCAGUUCGGGCGGUCGGAUAAAGGCUUCGGGAAUGUAGCUCCUCUCGAGGAGUGUUAUAGCCCGUUGCGAAAUGCGGCCAGCCUGAACUGAGGUCCGCGCUUCGGCUAGGAUGCUGGCGUAAUGGUUGUAAGCGGCC